rnacentral:lncRNA from 1 species
CAUUCUUGAGCUCGUUAACGCUUACUUCAAUGUCAUUAAGUUUUGUAUCCAACUUGUCAAAACGGUUCUCCAUUUUAUCAAACAUCUUCUUAAUAUAUCUGAGGAUUGCAUCGAGUUUUGGGUCUUCAAUGUUUGGAAACUCAACAACAUUUGAUGAUGCUUUGGGAAUUGUGACUUCUCCAACCUCCUCAUAGUCCUUUAAGAGUUCAUGAAGCUCAACAAACUUAUUCACCACUUCAUAUUUUUGCUCAUUAGGCAUCAAUAACUUGGCCAAAGCAUUCUCAUCUGAGACUUUCAAAUCGUUAAUCACAUCCCAACUCUCUACUUCAUGUGAAUAAUUCCAAGUGUGAGAGUAUUCUAGACCUCUUUCUCUUGCUUCAUAUUUGACUUUCUUUAGUGGAUAAAUAACUGCAUCCCAUGAUUUUGGUUUGCCCACAUUAUUUAGUAUCCUUCUCCACACAUAACCACGUCUCAUCACAUUUUCUUCAAUUUCCAAAGAUGGGCAAUCCUCCAUACAUACCCCAAUAAUGCAAUUUCUAAUUUUUUCCAUCCAUCCUUCAGCUUCCUUUUCUAAAUCCGGCCUUGGUGCAUUCUCUACCUCUUUUGGGUAGUAGAUGAUGACAUCAACCCAUUGCCUAUCUUUCCAAUUGUUUGUGUCUCCCCCAACUCUCACAAUUAUCUCAAUAAGGUUUUUUUUCAAAGCCACCCAUCCAUUCCCAAGCCUGAAACCUUUCUUGCUUAAUUUGUGAAGUUUAACUUGGAUCUUUGUGAAAAUACUUGCAGGAAACAAUUUCAAGUCCUUGUCUUUGCAUUCAAACCUCCUGCCCCAGUAGUUGUGGUUUUUUUGAGUGUCAAUUGGCACUGAGGGUGACAAUAAAUCUUCUGGAGGUGAAUAUUCUUCUUGCAAUAAUGUUGGCAUUAUCAGCUCUUUGGGCAAGUUAUGCCAAUUCCCAUCCCAUUUAUCAUCCCAAGGCAAUAUCACUCCCAUCUCAUGGAGCACUCCAAGAAUGUACUCCACUAUUUUGUCUUCGUUCCCACAUUGUUGCUUCAACUGAUGUUUAACUAUGUGUGUGUCCAUUUUACUUUGGAGUUUGCUUGUCUCAGUAUGUAUGAAGAGCUGCACCACAUCCUUGAUAAACCAUUGGACAUCUAAGAUGGCAAAUUGAGACACAAUGUCGUCCUCUUCAUGUCCCAAGCCAAAGUAAAUUGCAUCACCAGAAUCAUGUAGAAAUUGCAAGAUGAAUUUGAGAACAUUCUUGGAACUCCUGUGAGGCAAGAGGAUUUUGCCAACUUUUUCUAGGGGUAUGACCUUCUUGUGACUUGGAUCUUGUACCAAUUUCCUCUUUGCUUUGAGACAUUCCCGUGGUAUUUUUUGCUGGGCUGACAGCAGUUCUUCCAAGCAACUCCCCAACAUGGUUUUUAUCCCCCUUAAAUCUUUCACUUGAGUGGCCACCACCUCAAAACAAAAGUCAUUCCCAAACUCAAGUACUUGCCGAUAGCCUUUGUCGGAGAUUAUUGCAGAAACCACCUCCUUUGGGUCAAAGUCGGGUUCUGGAGUGAAAAAGUUCAAGGCAAUCAAGACCCUGGGCUUCCUUUUGGGUGAGGCUGAUUGAUGUGAAGCGAUGAACCUCAGCCAGUAAACCAAAUUCUGCUUGAAAACCUCACAAUUGCCAUCCUCCACCUUGCAUACGAUCAAGAAGAGAUCCUUCUCACUUCCUCUGAGAAAGUACUGGUGGAAAGCAUGGAACUCUUCCUGUCCAGCCAGGUCGCAAAUGAGCAGCUUUUGUUUGGUGGUCGCAUAGACAAGUGGUUGCAGCUCAAUGCCUGCUGUUGAAGCAUGCUUUUGGAGACAUGAUGGAAACCAAGACACUCUGCGGCAGAGGUUUUUUUUUAUUGUGGUCUUUCCAACCCUGCUAGCACCAAACAAGAAGACAUUUGCUGUUGACGGGUUGUCAAAGUCUUUGAAUGCACUCUGCUGGAAACUUGCUUGAAAGCUUCAGAAGCUUCGGAAUCAUCACCUAGCUCAAGCACUUCCACGAGGCUUUGGUAGUUUUCCUAUCAUUGCAUGUAGUAAAUAUUUAAAUUAUUAGAACAAAAUGUGUUCUUUAGAACAUUUUUAUCUAUAUAAUAUAUAGAGAGUUAUUAAAUUAUUAGGUUCGCCAUAACCUUAAAAUUUUAAAAUUUAUAAUGUUCGUACUAAAUUACAAUUGAAAAUUGACCUCAACUCGUGAGCUCAACUCUUCAACUCGUGAGCUCAAGUAUGGUCCGCGCCCGUAUAGUCUUUGCAGCGAACAGUUUGAACAAGUGAGUGCCUUGAAGAGUGCUUCACCUGCCUCCUCUCGAAACGUUGCCACCAGUUUUACUAGCUUAAUGCAAAUGCCACUCUGAAAUGCCUGUUCCCACCCUUCCUUGCCAAUGUGGUUAUCUUCGAUGACUAACUCUUCCACCCUGCACUCCUGACUUGCCAGAUCCCUACUCAAUUUCCCAAAUCCUUCCACUGUCAUCCUGUUCCCCAGCAAUUGGAGACGUUUCAAGUUGUUUCCUGGUUUCCUAAGGAGUUGGCUAAGGAGAGUCUCUGGGUUCCCAACCCUGUACAACCAAAGCUCUGUCAAGCAGUCGAGCUGAGCAAAGGCCAACUCAAGCUCCUGAGGUGGUGUGAGGAUGUCUUUGCCUCGCCAAUCGAAACGUAGCCCUUUCAAGACCUUGAAUUCCUGUGUCAUCGUCAGUAGCUUUGCAAACCUCUGCACCUCAAUCUGCCAAAUAUCCUGUCCCUGCUGAGGAGGAGCAAUGCCCUCUGCCACCCUUUGCAUUCGAUCACUGGGAAUGCCCAACCUACAAGCGACCCUGGCAGCGAAGUGGAUGAAUCUGAUGUCGAGCUGUGGUACCAAAGCGGCCUUGAGAAUGUCAAUGUGAGCAGCAGCAGCAGCAGCAGCAGACGAACUGCCAUCACCAGGAGCAUCUCCCACAUCCAGAGCCCUGUCUAACCUGGGCGGAUUUGAAAUGCACCAGUUGAGCACACCAAUCAGAUCCUCCUCUGUGCCUCCAAACCCCUCAACGGUAGCACUCACCUCAUCAACAAACUCACCUUUGGAUGCGUCAAGCGCCUCCAGCCUCCAGACAAGCUCCCCACAAUUAAACUGAAUCGCAUUGAAGUGCCGCUUGUUGCCCCGCUUCGCUGCGAGAGCCUCCUUGAUCUCCUUGACAGAGUCACAGCGGAUCCACACUCGUCGCUCCUCCUCCAUGGAAGUUUGCCCUAGAUCGAGUGAUCAUGAGUAAACUUCUCCCAGCUGUGGAUAAGAAAGUAAGCACGAGUUAGUUUAGGGUUUAGAACAGAUAAAAUGGGGAAGAAGGGGAAAGGGAAAAGAGAAGACCGAGCGAGUUCGUCGCCACGACAAGGUGUUAGACGAGGAUGAUAUCGAUGCGAUCUCUGGCCAAAGACUCUCAAUUGUUUUCCUUUUUGUCAGUGAAGGGGCAGUGGAGAGCACGAGUAAAAAGUGAGCUGUAAUGUAAGAGUUAAUUUAGGAAUUAAACGGAAAGGACAAGACCAUAAACAAACAUAAAAUGAUUCCAUUUGGUGGAUUUUAUGACACGCUGAGGGAAGAAAGGUCGGCUGUUUCAGCAGUGUAAAUGUUUAGUAUUGAAUUUUUGACACAGGUACUUCAAUAAUCUUUAAGUGCUGGAUUUAGACGAUUAUAAGGUUUGUUUCUGUCGCUCAUCGUUCUUCCUUGUUUUUUAACAACUAAACUGAUUUCCUUUUGCAGUGGCAAGAGAUAAAACCCAAGCUUGGAGCUGCCUGGCCUUCAGCUGGAACUGGUUCUCAGCUUGCUGUUUAUUUAGAUGAGGUAUUUGUCUACUAAAAGUAUAGUUUUGCGUGUUGUGAACAUUUUUUCUUUUCUAGAUUUUCUUGUACGGUGGCUAUUUCAAAGAGCCUGUGCUUGUUUUACAUUCUCGUUUGGAGUUUUAGUUUUUCAAUGUGUUUUGUGAAGGUGAAAAAAUCCGGUAUGGCUCCUGGCCAAGAGCAGGAUUUUUGUCCACAUCUUGUUUGGUGGUGUAGUUGAUGCUGAUGAGUACGGUUUCAAUGCAUGCGUUGGAAAAACUAAUGUCUUUUGCAGGUGAUUCCCUGCACAGCGUUUUUAUGAUCGAGAUGUAUAUGCUUUCCAGAUGGUUUGUAUCUCGUCGAUUUUUUUAAAAUUAUCUAAACACCAUCGCUCGCAGGUAUCCUUUGGAGCUUCUCAAGCCAAAGAGCCUAAAGAUUAAGGUAUGGCAAUCUGAGAUUGUGUAGUGGUUAAGUGUGCAUCCAAAGCAGAGGAAAGUGGUUGAUCCAAAUGUGGAAAAUGCGUCUCAACGUUGAGCGUUCGGCUUGAAGGUUGUUGCCUUGUGGAAGAAUGAAUGCUGGAAUGGUCGUUGGAAAGGAUACUUUAUUUCUGUAUGGAGGUAUGAAAGAAGUCGGCAAAAAAAAAGUGACACGACGACCUUUCCUCGCUGGACCUUCGAUGUGUGGAAGUGCAUUAUUGAGGUUAGUAUGAUCGAGCCAUCAUCCAGCCUCAUACUAAUGUCUCAAGCAGGAAACACAAAGCGCGUGGAUUGAAGCUAGUAAGGAGAAAGGCGAAACUGAUGGUGACAACAGUGAUGCUGGAUCGAUUAAUAAAGGAAAAGACGAAGAGGACGAUGACGAGGUAGUAAAAAAGAAGGAUGUAAGAAAACUUGUCUGUUUCCUUUUGUGUUCUAGGAUGCAGUGGAGUCACUGUGAAGAGGCAGCUGCUAUUCUUAGGGGCGAAGGCAAAAAGGUGACACAGAAAGCACGGAAAUUAAAGAUUGAUCCGAGCUGGGCCUGGCUGAUUCCCAACAAACACUUUUGGUGAGUGCUGAUAGUAGUUCAUCUUCCUGUUUUGUUAUUGAUUUGUCUUUCAGCCUGGAGAAACGCUGAGAGAUUUUUUCUCUUGGACGAUCAUGUAUUGGCAAAUGGCACCUUACGAUCACACCCAACACACUGGAAAGGUGACAACGCAGGUUUUCUUUCGCUCGUUCUUCAUGCUCUAUGCAUCUAUCAGGAGCUCAGGAAGGAUGGAUUUGACUUGGCAAAGACACGCUACAGAGAACUUAAAACCCGUCCUUGACAAGGUAAAGUGGUGUUUUAAGAAGGAAUCCUCACAACAGCAUUGUUUGAUUUGCAGCUCGCGAGACUUGAAGCCGACCACAACGCCGAAGAGGAGGCUACCAAACCUUCCAAAGAGCGCAGCAAGAAGAAAGGAUAAGGUCCGUGAUCUCUGAAAGUUCUAGCUGAAAAUUAAAUGAAUAGAUUACAGUUAUUCCCAGAGGUAUGGUGAGUGCUUUCCUUUUCUAGAGGCAAUGCCAUUGACAUGAAACCACUAGUAUACAAUCUCUGCGUCCUAUCAUCAAUGGUGAUAGAAGGUUAAUUAAUAAGGACGAUCCGCAUGAAAUGGAUAUCCUGCUCUUACCCAGGAUAAAGUUUAUAUUUCCAUGAUUGCUCGCAGAGUGUAUGGGCCUGAGAUAUGCCAUGGCUUGCUUUCGGUUGCCUUUCGUAAAGUGCAGAGUGAACACUCUCUCUACGCGGUCCAUAAACUUUACUACCUGUAGUGCAUUGGAGCAAUGAAAUCCCAUCAGCAAGACCCCCAAAGGAAAAUUUCUUCACACCUUGUCCGACGUUGCAAAGUGAGAGUUUUCGACCAUCUUGAGGUAACUGCCAGACUCCAGUCACCUGAAAAUUUAAAAAAGCUUUUUAGAAGUCUGCAGUAAUUUUCCAUUUUCCAUAAGUACCUUGUCAUAUUUCUUGCGGAUCCUGACGAAUGCCAUCAUGUUCAAGGAGCUGCCAAGUAAGUUUUCAACACUUUGAGAACAUGGAUCAAUCGUAUAGAGGUCAUUCACCUCAAGUUUCUUAGGAGUCGAAGCCCACGAUAAAAUUCGACAAAGGCCGUCUGGAGCAUCUUGGCUGCUCGCUGAACCUUUCCUUUGUUACCGGGGCUCCCCUUCAAGCUCUGAGAUUCGUCAUCUACAACAUGGCAGAGAUCAAACGAUUCCAAGUUAAGUGCUACAGAUUUAGAGGCUGCUAUAACAAACCUUGCAUAACGAUGAGCUCUUGCAUUUGGAUGUGAAGUUGCUGUGCUUGAGCAUCGUACUCGUCUUCCUUGCAUCUAAAAAACUUGUCCACUUUGUUGAGCUGAUCGUCAAGGCCGAAAAAGAAGCUCUUUUCGUGAUCCGAUCGAGUUCCAAACAGCUCCGUCUCGUAAAAAUCCUUGCCAUCUGCAAUUCUCCUCUUGUGCACAACCUGACCGUAUUGAAGAGUUUUGUUUCGUCUUUACAGUCCAGAACAUCCAUGGAUGUUUCCGAGGAUAUGGAUUGUUCGCAGCAGCUGCUCAGGAUGGCGCUGGGAUCUUGCAGCAAGUUUUGAAGCUUGCUCUUGUCAACCGAGAAGACAUUUGGAUCGAACACCUUGUGCUGCUGGUUCUUGGUAUGUAGGAUCUGGUUUUUGAUUCUCUUGACAACUUUCUUGAGCUGCUUGUAGUCGCAGUACUUCACCCACUCUGGGACGAGCUGGCCCUCCAGCUGCUUCUGGAACUUCACCAUGUCUGAAAGCUUGGAUUACCUGAGGCGAACAUCGUCAAGAAAACGAUCAAGCAAGAGAUGAAAUACCUGGAGGAAAUGGUGUCAAGUUUAGAAUGCCUCUUCAAACUUUUCUGGCGCCUGUGCUCUGGAAGCAGAGGAAGAACAGUGGCAAUGAGCAUAUGACGAGACAAAUGGUGGCGUGGAAUCAUCAAAUGCGGGAGGAGCACCACCAAUUCUCACAAGAAAACAGCGCCUUAAGAUCAUCUCUGGAGAAAAGGGGGAAAGCCUUCGUUUCUCACCGACGCCAGCGAACAAUUACAUAAGAAUACGUUUUCCCGAGUGAAACUGACGCAGCAGAGUGCAAGAGGAGAGAAGAAGCAAGCGAUCCAUUGGCCUAUGGAACUAAAAAAGGAAGCAAAAGGACAGGGAAUGCAGGGGAAUCUACAUGAAAAGAAGCUGUCGUAAGUUACACACUUACACACACUCUCACACACUUCAACUCUUUUCUUGUCAACACGAGUAAUUUAUGCGAGCGAAAGGGAAUGAAAGAAUCAUUUGAGCAUCUAAAGCAUGGAAGGAAGCGAGGCACGUACUCUUUCUGGAAAUCACGCUUAUGGAGCGUUUUGUUUCGUCGGAAUCCCGAUUGCUGGCGCAACCAAACUGAAAGAAUCGCAAGCUCAGAACUACGAAAGCAAAGAAAAAACUUACUCUUGAAAGGGGACGACGAGGAGAAGAAUAACCGAAGGAGCCAAGCUUGGAAUCGAGAGAGCUUGUCGAGUUCUCGAGGUGAGAGCCCUUUGCUCACUCAAAAACUUGAAGCAAAGCUGAAUAACUCCAACAAAGCGAUAAGAACGCCACCUUAUAUUGAAACACACGGCGGUUGUCAAGCGAUAAUUCAGCUCUUCGUCUGGAAUGCACCAGCAAUAAAAUAAUGCAUAUGACGCAGAAAGAAGAACUUAACGUACCCGUUCGCUGCCACUUAUCAAACUUGACAACCCAAGUAACGUCCCCAACCUUCGUCGCACGAAUUCGAUCAACCCACAUACAGAAGUUCUUUCCCCUGUGAAUACCGUGGAGGGACGUAGAAUCUCAACGCUUGUACGAAGAUCGUCUUCUAGUCCCCACGGAGUGACCAGCGUUGAGUCAGGGGCCUGCCAGCCAUUUCGUUGCUCAACCAUCCAAAAGUACUAAAUACGAGGAACUUACCAUUGGCCUUUUCAAGUGUUCAAACACCUCGUGGGAGCUUUCAACCUCGCCUCGUAACCAUCUCACACAGUAGCACCACGUCCGAUCAACCAGCAGUGAGCUGGCUCAGUAAGUCGGCAUCCCUGGGCGAAACACAAGGAUCAAACUUGAACUCUCGGAUAGCUUGUAAGAUUCCCGAAGCGCAUCUUUCAGUGCCACGAAAGAUCUUGGGAUUGUCUUUGGCAUUAUCAAGGUACCACUGCGUAAGAUCUUCAACCGCAUUCCCGACCUGAGAUCGUCAGUGAGUGAGUGGCUGAUCAAUCGACUUCAAGAACUUACGAUCACUCCAGAAACGUCUUUGACGGCAAAGAGCUCAGCAUCACAAGAACUUUCUGAGGAGCUCUGCCUUCCCUCAUGAGCUGUCCCUUGUCAGCUGCUCAAGGGAGAACAUCCAUAUCCUGUCCUCCGCUGUAUAUGAUUUUUACAUCCAACUGGAAGAACAAAAAAGAAGAAGGAUUAGAUCACAAAAGCUUCGAACGAUCCUCUAAAAACUUGCCUCACACUCGAUCAAUCUCUUCAACAGUGUCUCCACAACCCGAGGAUCCUCCGCCUUCUUCAGCUUGAAGCUGACUUUGUGAGGUCGCUGUGCUGUUUGUUCCUACAGAAAAAAAAAAACCAGGACGAGAUAGAGAAAACCGUUGUAAACACCAUCAAAGAGAGGAUAUGGAAUUUUUCUACCUGGAAUGUAAGCUCUGGAAACUUGGAAGUCUCUUCCAAACAGCCCUAUCCCACCCCUUGUUUGGUUCUCGCCCAUGGCAUCGCCGUACAAUCUCGACAUCGUGACCUCCGGCGUGAGCAGCGUCCUCUCCCGCCUCAUCAGUCGGCGAUCUUCCAGUCGAGAACACCAGAAGCGAGUCAUGGAAAUAAUCUGCGGCCCAGAGCGCAUUGAAGAAGAAACCCGAUGCGUACCAUUGUUCCAUCGAGAUCGGAGACGAUCGCGAGCCGCGCCCCCUCCAUUACAAGCUAAUGUGCAAAGAACCCUAAAAGCAUAUGCAUAGUAUCCCUCGAAUCUUUUUAGACUUUUCACUAGUUUCCAACUUGUCUUCCUUCCCAAUCCUCGUAGCCUCUUAGAAACGCACGAAGAGGACCACUCUCUCAUUCGGAGAUACCGCCGAAUCGUAAAGGGAUCUUCCCUUCACAUAGAAAUCUGCAAAGAACCGCUCCACACAAAUUCCUUUUCAGAGUUUCUAUACCUCGAAUGGAUCUGUCUGGUGCUUCUCAUUGUUUUCUUGCUCUUCGACCUCUUCCUGGAAGAGCAAUCCAAGGCAGCCUCAUACUGGCUCUGCUGCUGCUGCUGCUGCCCGAUCAAAUUCCCCUCAAAUUCGACACAUUGCCCGGGCAAGCGUCACAAUCCCAAUGCCGCCACCGCUGCGAGGCGCUGCCAACACGAUCAACGAGAAUCGAUGCCCUAGCGCAUUGGGGGACGCCGGGCUCGAACCCGGACCAGCGGAUGCCGCGCCGCGCCGGACUCGAGCCACGGACCGGCGGUCUCGUCGCCGGACUCGAACCCGCCACCGUACGCUCUACGCCUCCACCGCUACCAUACGCCUCUCUCUAGUUUAUUAUACGCCUCCAAUCCUUGGUAGUGCUUCCUCAUGAUCACCUCUAUGUGACAACCAACCCCGCGUAGAGUACGCGGGGUACGACGUUUGAAACUCCAUUCAUUGGGCUUUGUUAAAGAGAAUAACAGAGAGAACGCCACUGUAGCUAAACCUAGAAAUCAAAAACUAAGGGGAUGACAAUGCUAGUAGUUCUUUUUUACAUCGUGCCACCUUAACCCUAGCGAAUAAUAGAAUAUUCGCUGCCGGAGAAUAUUCCGGAAUCGGCACAUGAUAGAGGGCAGUGACAAGAGGUUUUGGGCCUUAUUUUUAUUGUUCGCUGGGAGUCCAUGUUCCCUCUUUAGCUCCCCAUGUGUGGCCUUUGUUUUUGUUGCCAGCCAAAGAAACACACAGAAAGUUUGAAGGAGAGAGAGAGAGCGCAAAAAUCUGAGAGGAGAGAAAGAAAUGGGACCGGCUUUGAUUGACUUUGCCGCGCUCCACUUCCCUUGAUCCCUCCAUCUCCAUCUCGUCCUUUUUCUUUUUCUAUUCGGACUUGAACGAUUCGAUCCAUGCCAUGUUUCGCUCGAAGUCGAUGGAUCACUGCCCGAUCACUCCACCACUUCUUGUCAACUGGAAAAGUCUUUAAAUUCCUCUCGCUGAUGUGAUCAGCACGGCAUUAGCCUGAGAUCAAGGCCGCAGAUCAUCCAGCAAAGUCUAAGCUUUUUGCCAUGGAUGUGACAAGCUAACGUGUUAUCCAGAGCGCUUACAGGUUCCAUUGUUUUUUCCAUGACAAUUCUUUUUCCUCUGGCGACCGGCACGAAAGUCGUCCGAAGCAACCCAAACUGGAAACAAGAUACAUGCCCAGUUUCUCGGACAGAUUUCCUCAAGCCCGGCAGCACACGGAAGACGAAGAAAUUCGUUAAAAAAUCCACGAGCAAGCAGCAAGAGAGAGAGAGAGAGAGAGAGAGAGAGAGAGAGACAUAAAGAACUUUGCCAAGCCCAAAGUCGUUGAUGUUAAGCUAGGCCGUGCUUGAAGCGCGUGAUGAUGAUCAUGAAAGUUCCUGUUGAGAUGCUCGGUGGAUUCUCAGUGUCUCCAGCUCGAGACUUAUCGAUCAAUCCACAGUGUGCGGCAGCCAUCGUUUCGCUCGAUCGCUCCCUCAUUUGCAAAAGCUCGGACUUCACGAUCCUUCUCUUUCUGCCAUGGAUUCCUCCAUGAAGAGACCACCGAGCCAAGUUGCGAGAGUGAGGUUAAGCUGUAGUGAUCUUACGGACAUCCUCUUUUUGGAUUGCUUCCUUUUUUACUCCGCGUAUCGUAUCGACACUGUUGUAGAAGAAACAAACGAGUUUUGGAGGUAGCAACUUCCCUUCCGUUUGAUUGAUACAUGAAGAACAAGACAUCGCUCGCAAGUGGAAGAUCACACGGGAGAUGUUUGGAGUCAAACUGGAACUUUCGUGAUUGUUACGAGCACCUCCCCUGAAUCCAGCGCCACACUAUCUAUCUGGUAAUGUUUCAAAACGAGUAAACUAAUCAGUGUUUGUUGGGAAUGAAUGUUUGUGCUGCUCGGCCACUUGCACUGCGGCAGCAGAGGAGGAUGUUUUGCGGCAACUAUACCCGACUAAAUCGAAGUACUUUAAUUGCAAUUUGCAAGAUCACAAGUACUAGUCCUGAAGAAAAACAACGCGAUGUGCUUAUAAUCAAGGCAUUCAUGCAACUCAAGUGGAAAUUCACUAUGUUUACCUGGGCUUUCCGAGGAUGCUUCAUCUGAAUUGCAUAGUGUCACCCUGCCGUAUGAAAAAGACAAGAGAGAAAUUCUUACUCACUAGAGUUGAGGACAUUUUAUUCCUAGAAAAUUACUAUCAAGAUUCUAAUUCUAAAAGUUUUUCUUUUGUUUUCUUACAAUUAUAGUUUAUAGUUGAUAACCUCCACUCCAUAAACAUAAGAAAAUUAAAAUAUAAAUAUAGUAACAAGGAUUCUUAAAAAUUAUUGCAAGAGUUUAUAUUACUAUCUUUGCUCUUUGAGCUUAUAGAGAUUUUUUUCCAUGCAAUUAAAGAAUUUCCUUGGAAUUAUGUGACACUAAGCUUGGCAUUGAUGUUUAUAUCCAAGACUUUGGGUUGAGGCUCACUCUAGAUGAAAAAGUGGAUGAGAGUAAAUGUUACUUACAUGACUAAGAGUUCUAAGUUAUUAGUAGUGGCAUUAAACUCUCCAAGGUGUAACUUUUAGUCCAAAAGUCCAAUUUGACAAUUUUACUCUAGCUACUACAAUUUUUUCAUUGUUGAUACUCACUGUAGCUUCAUUCAACUCUACACUCUUUUACUUGAUUAAAGAUGUAAAGUUUUGUGUCAUGUUCUAGAAUUUUGUCUAUAGCUACAAGACCAUAAAUUUAUCCAUAAAUGGAUUGAUAUUACUAUAAAUAAUUAAAGAGAACAAUUUGAGAGACAAUCAAUGGAGUUCAAAUAUAAAGGGAGGGCUCAUGAAUAAAAAUGCAUCUUAUUUUUCAAUCAGUAUGUGUUUUGGGAUAUUUAGGGUUCAAUGUUCUUGGGUUUAAGUAAAAUAUUAGGAUGGGUGACUUUCUGGGAAGUUUAAAUUUAGGAGUUUACAUUUCAUAUUAGAAAGGUCUUGGGUUUAACUCUAUUAGUUGACUUAGAGGAAUCACAUCACAUAUUAAUUAACAUUUAGCAGGUUUAAUUUGCUGCAACUAAGCUCGACCUAAGGGGUAGGGUGUCAAGAGAAUGGGGCUCUCGACUUCUAUUCAUGAGGGCAUAAACUUACAGAGAAGCGUGGUAGAUUGUAGGCAACCAAAGAGAAUGACUUAAAAAAUGAUCCAUGGGGUUUAAAUAUAGAGGAAAAAGGCCUAUGAAUAAACAUGCACCCCCUUUUCCAAUUGGUCAAUGGUCAUAUUUGGGGUUAAGCAUCUCUAGGCUGGGUGGGAAGUCCAAAUUCAAGAACUUACAAUUACUUCAAUGCAAAGGUAUAGUUUUCAACUUCUCUCUCUUCCUUUCAUAUUCUUUUUUUUGUUUUGCACUAUGUAGUGAGUGAAAUGCUUUCACUUGUAAGUUUCUCGCAGGUGCGUGAAUAAGACUUGAUUAAAUCUUAUAACCUGCUUUUCCAAAGUUACAUUUAAGAUGGCCGAGUGAGCAGUGUGAUGUGCUUUUACAAUCAAGUGAAUAGUGUCUUGACUUCUGCUAAUCAAAGUUUGCUUAUGGAUAUAAUGUAAAAUAGGUGGGGAUGCAAUAGGUUUGUUCAUUUUUCUCCUAAAGAAAAAUCAUUCUUUUACUUCUUGUUAAAUAUAUAGUUUUUGAUUGUGAUGUUCUUCACGUUUUUUUGAAGGGUGUAACAUAUGCUCCCUCAGCCAAAGAUGUAAUUGUUGAUUCUAUAUUAUAGGUAAAAGUUUGAUAAUUAGGAUUGUUGCAGGUUUCAAUCUUAAUUUUGAUACCAAUUUUUAAAGUUUUACCAAGUUUAUUUUAAAUUAAUAAGUUUAAAAAUUUUUCUUGACAAUCAUGAGAAGUCAACACUUUAAGUUGGAAAGAUCACAAAGGUUAACCUUGACUAUAUAGUAUCCAAUUUUAUUACAACUAAAAUGUAGCUUGGAUUAUUCAAUGAUAAUCUAAACACUUAGCCAUAUGGAGAUAAAAUGAUAAUUAUCAGCAACUUGCUCUAGAUAUUGCUUUCUAAGGAAUUGUUCUUUUAAAAAACAAUGGAUUACUAUUUUUAUUCACAAUCUUGAAAAUUGUGGCUCUUAUAAAAAAUGAUGUAAAUAUAACAUAUAUGAUAUUUAGAAACUACAAAUGUGAAAGAUAAGUUUCUUCUCAAAACUCUUUAAAUGUUACUUAUGGUUUUAUUGGAGAAAUGUUAUACAAGUAUGUAUCACUUUUGCAAAGCAUGUAAAUCAAUAGCAAUAACAUCCUUUAUUCAUAGUACUUCUUUCAAGAAUGCAAUUUCAAUUCAUCUCCAACAUUUCAAAUGCAACCACUUGUCCUAUUAUUCUUAUGAUCACUACUUUUUGUUGAUAUCUUAACUUUCAAGGACAACCCAUGAAUCUCAAGUGUUAUUUGGUUUGGAUAUUUUAGUUAGUCCAAAGGUGCUACUCUCACUCAUGUUAUUUUUGGAACAUAAAAUCUAAGUAUUCCUUCUCUUCCUUUCUUUCUUUAUAGUACAAAAAUUGAAUAUAAAAUUAAGUGGUCACUUGGUAAAUACUUAGUACCACGAGGCAUCCAUAAAUGUUUCCAUGUUGGAUAUGAAAAUGAAAUACAAUCCACUAUUGAUAUCUAAGGAAAAGCUAUCAAUUUUAAAUAAGGUUACUAACAACUUUAGUGAUGGAUUGUCCUAAUCAACUUAUUUGUAUAAGUUUCUUUUAACACCAACAAAGCUUUCUUUCAAGAGCAAAAGAGGAAACUCUUGAGAUUGUCCAAUUGUAAAGAGUAACAAAGAUUAAUCCAAUCACUUACAAAAUGAUCUAUAAAUUUAUAACAACAUUUUGCCCAAUCUCAGCAAAACCAUUAGUAAAUCAAAGUUCUAACCAACUUUUCAUCUUUCCUUGAUAAUUUAGCUCCACUCGACUAGUAUAUAGAGCCCCAAGUUGAACAAUGUACUUUCAAGAUGGUCCUCUUUAACAAGUUCCAUAUAUAAAUAAUAUAGUGACUUACCCUUUCCUCUCUUGUGAAUUAUUGUUUAAAGAGAGUUUGUUUCUAAUUCACUUAAAUUUUCCCCUUCAGAAACCAUUUAGUUUGGCAUAAAAUCUUAGCAACCCAAUACUAAAUACUAGCCCAAAACUUUGAGAAGAAUAUAUCAACUAGUAUAUUAGUGAUGAUUUGAAGCUUGUUUUGCCAAUUUACAAGCUAUGAUAAACGAUUCAGAUAUUGGUUCUCUAAAUGAGGAUGGGAUAGAGAUUGGGAGUAAGCCUAGGCAAACAUCUCUAAUCCAAACUUUUCCAUUUUGCUCAUAAACUUGAUUAGCUUUGCAAAGGUUUCGAUAGAGUUUGUUUUCAAAUUUUUGCAUGUUAUAAAUGUUUAUCAAGGCGAUGUAAAUAGGAGUACACUACAAUUAUGGCUUGUCUUUUUUGUUAUGAUGGUGGUGAUCGCAACCAUCACCAUGCUUUCGGCAUCGUUAUAAAUGAUUAAAUUUUCUUUUUUUACUUUAAGAUCAUCUAAAGGAGUCUCACUCAUAAUCUUUAUAGGCCCUGAUAUUAAUUUAAGUGUUUGUUAACCCUCAGAUGUGUUUUUGCAACCACAUCAACUUUGUACUUUGCUCUAUGUGUCUAGUCCCACUUUGAAUACCUAAAGGGCUACAUAACCUCUCGGAAAGUCCAAAUUUAAAAACUUAUAUUUAGUAUUAAAGAAGUCUUAAGUGUGACUCUAUUAGUUGAUUAAAAGAAUUAUACCACAUGUUAAAAUUGAUAUUUAAUAGGUUUAGUUUACUCCAAUUGGGCUUGACUCGACGGGUAGGGUGUUAAAAGAGCAAGGCUCUUAGAAAAUCUGCAACUUUCAACUUCUAUUUACGAGAGCGUAAACUUGCAAAAAAGCAUGAUGGAUUAUAAACAAUAAAAAAAAAUGACUCAAAAAUUAUUAAUAUUGUUUUAAAUAUAAAAAUGUACCCUUUGUUCCAAUUAGUUAUAAGUCUUUGGGUAUUUGAGAUUAAGCAUCUUUAAAUAAUACGAGGUUGAAUGAUAUUUUAGAAAGCUUAAAUUCAGGAGAUUAUAGUGUCAUAAACAAUAUAAGUUUAUGUUUGUAAAGAACAUAUCAAGAAAGAAAAAAUUUUAAAAUUACAUAACCUUUUAAAAAUGAAAUAUUUACUAGAAUGCUAGAAAUAAAUAUUUGGAGAGCCUUUUCAUUAGAACUACUCCCAAAUAACACUUGAUGUGUUGCAUAUGAGUUCACAGUGAAAAAUAUCUUUAUACUUCAUUUUUAAUAGAAUUAUAAGUGGUGUUUAAUGCAUAUUUUAUAUUUUCUAAAAGAUAUUUGCAAACACUUAUAAAGAAUUUGCUGUUAAAUUAUUGUCAUUCAAGCACUUGCUUACAAUAGUAAAAGUUCAAUACAAUGUUUGAUUUUAUAGGAUGGCAUAUAUGUAUAAUUGAGGAGAGUAAACAAAUUUUUAUAUGGAGUUUAGUAAGUAAAUAGAAUUGUGUAUAAUAACAAUUUUGAUAAGUUUUUAAAGUGUAGUUUGUAACAUCUUUUAACUAAACAUUGAUUCAAAAAAUAGGUUGAAGUUGGUAAAGAUAAUAUAAAGUUAUCUUUAACAAUAUGUGAUGAUAAAUAACAAUUAAACAUAUAUAUUUAGUUUUGAAAUGCACUAUCUCAAAAGGUUUAUUAAUGUCAAUUGAAUUCAUUUUUAGAAUUGUUUUACUAAAGAUGCCAAAAUAAAAAAUGCCGCAAACAUAAAAUCAUUUAAGUAGCUUUUCUUUAAAGCAUUCAAUACUGGAACAUCAAAAUAAAUAUGAAAAAAUAUUUUCAAGCAAUAUGCAAAGAUACCUUAUCAACUUAUAUCAGGAAAUGUAGCAUAAUCAUAGUAAAAAUAAUAUUCUGCAAUAGUUAUAUUAAUAUAGAGGAUGUUUGAUUUAUCAUUGCUUUGCCAAAUAGCUCAAAAAUCAAUAUAAUUAAUGAUUUAUUUUAAAUGCCCUACAUAGUCUCUGUUAGAUUAAACUAAAAACAUAGAUAUAUAUCAAUGUAAAAUACCUUUGUAAAUCCAUACUGUUUUAUCAUCCAAGUGUAAGCAACCAAAGGGAACGACUCGAGAGACGAUCCAUGGGGUUCAAAUAUAGAGGGAAAGGGCCCAUGAACAAGAGUGCACCCCCUUUUCCAAUCGGUUAAGGGUCUUGGGAUAGUUGGAGUUAAGCGUCCUUGGGUUUGAAUAGUACUGGGCUGGGUGACCUCCCGGGAAGUCCAAACUCAGGAGCUUACAUUUGGUAUCGGAGCGGUCUCGGGUCCGACUCUGUUGAUUGGCUAGGGGAAUCGCACCACAUGUUGAUUGACAUCUGGCUGGUCCAGUUUGCUCCCGUUGGGCUCGACCCGAGGGGUAGGGUGUCAAGAGAGCGAGGCUCUCGGGAGAGCUGCGGCUCUCAGCUUCCGUUCACGAGGGCGUGAACUUGCAAGGAAGCGUGGUGGAUUGUAAGCAACCAAAGGGAACGACUCGAGAGACGAUCCAUGGGGUUCAAAUAUAGAGGGAAAGGGCCCAUGAACAAGAGUGCACCCCCUUUUCUAAUCGGUUAAGGGUCUUGGGAUAUUUGGGGUUAAGCGUCCUUGGGUUUGAAUAGUACUGGGCUGGGUGACCUCCCGGGAAGUCCAAACUCAGGAGCUUACAUUUGGUAUCAGAGGGGUCUCGGGUCCGACUCUGUUGGUUGGCUAGGGGAAUCACACCACAUGUUGAUUGACAUCUGGCUGGUCCAGUUUGCUCGGGGAAUCACACCACAUGUUGAUUGACAUCUGGCUGGUCCAGUUUGCUCCCGCUGGGCUCGACCCGAGGGGUAGGGUGUCAAGAGAGCGGGGCUCUCAAGAGAGCUGCGGCUCUCAGCUUCCGUUCACGAGGGCGUGAACUUGCAGGGAAGCGUGGUGGAUUGUAAGCAACCAAAGGGAACGACUCGAGAGACGAUCCAUGGGGUUCAAAUAUAGAGGGAAAGGGCCCAUGAACAAGAGUGCACCCCCUUUUCCAAUCGGUUAAGGGUCUUGGGAUAGUUGGAGUUAAGCGUCCUUGGGUUUGAAUAGUACUGGGCUGGGUGACCUCCCGGGAAGUCCAAAUUCAGGAGCUUACAUUUGGUAUCAGAGGCGGUGGUUCGUUGACUAUAAGGAAAAACCAUAACGUCGGACCCUUCGGCAGGGACUGAGGCAAAACCAGACAAGGUCGAACAGACUGAAGUGGAAUCAGUCCCUCAAGCAGUUCCCAAGUACAAACCAAAGCCCCCACCAGUCUUCAAGGGAGUGAAUGACUAUAAGGUGGUGGAGGAUUGGUUUUACGAUAUGGAGGACUACUUCCGAGCGUUGCGGUUACCGAGCUCGGAGAAGGUCCCAUGUGCAAAACCAUACUUGGCAGAUAAUGCCAAGUCUUGGUGGAGAACAACGGAGGCCAACGAAGGACCGGUGGUCACUUGGGACAUGAUGAAGGCGAGGAUCCGCGCAACAUAUGUUCCUCCGAAUGCCACUCUGCAUCUGAGGGAUGAACUGAGUAGGCUGAAGCAGACUGGAACCAUCCAGGAAUAUGUGAUCCAGUCCCUAACUCAAAGUUACUCAUUACACGAGCAACUUUGGUAGAGAGUCGUUCGCGACAUCUACUAGCCCUCCGAGGGAAGCUCGGAGGUAGCUUUGUUAAGAUCCUUAUUGACACGGGUGCUUCGGAUAAUUUUGUGGCUGCAGACAUAGUCCGGCAAGCCGGACUAACGGUGCAGCGGCUAGGCGAACCAAGGACUAUAGAGUUUGUUCAAGGUAGCCAAAGCACCGAUGAGGUACUUCGACAAGCGAAAGUCGAAGUAGGGACUUGGAAAGUAGACAUGGAUUUCACCGUGUUGGACAUGGCGGGAUUUGACGUGAUCUUCGGAAUGGAUUGGUUCAAUCGGUUCGUGGUAGCCCUACAUGGACAAGGUAGGAACCUUGUGGUACUGGCGAAUGCCCAAGGAAAAAGAUCUAGGGUGGAGGCCCAGGAUCUAAAGGUAGGGCAAAGCAAGGCCAAAGAAUCCUGCUUAAACCUGGUGUCCACGAGAGGACAACUCACUAAAGGAACUAAGGCAGCCUUUUUGUGCUUACUCUCGGUGAAGAGUGACAAAAAGACAAGAACGGAAGAAGUGCCUUUAGUGAUCCAGCGAGUGCUGGACCAAUUCCAGGAUACCAUGCCGGAGGAGCUACCGGCGGGGUUGCCCCCCGCACGACCGAUAGAGCAUAAGAUUGAGCUGGUCGAGGGCGCAGAGGCGGUGGUUCGUCCACCCUAUCGUUUGAACGAAAAAGAACUCAAGGAGCUCAAGUGCCAACUAGAGGAGUUGGUGGGCAAAGGGUAUGUUAGGUUGAGCAAGUCGCCGUAUGGGGCGCCGGUAUUAUUUGUGAAAAAGAAAGAUGGAUCUAUGCGCAUGUGCAUAGAUUACCGGUUGCUCAACAAAUAUACCAAGAAGAACAAGUACCCUUUGCCAAGGAUUGAGGACCUGUUCGAUAGGUUGGGAAAGGCAAAAUACUUCUCGAGGAUUGACCUAAGGUCAGGAUACUACCAGAUCAGGGUAGCUAAGGGAAGAUGGUAUGGACAGCGGAAUGCGAGGCGGCAUUCGUCCACCUCAAAGGGAAGUUGAGGAAGGCUCCGGUGUUGGCAUUACCAGACUUUGGUAAGGACUUUGAGGUAGACACCGAUGCUUCGGACUUUGCGUUGGGCGCAGUUUUGAAGCAAGACAACCAUCCAGUAGCGUUCUUCUCGAAGAAGCUGGACAAGGCUCAACAGAAGUGGCCUGCCCACGAGAAGGAAUUGUUUGCGGUGGUCAAGGCGCUCAAGGAGUGGCGACACUACCUUGGGAGACACUUCAAGGUUUACACGGACAAUGUGGCAACGAAACACUUCUUGUCACAACCCGACCUGAGAGGGAAACAAGGUCGGUGGGCCAAUGCCUUGGCCGAGUUUGAUUGCGAAAUUCUGUACAAGCCUGGGAAGAGCAACAUCGUAGCAGAUGCGCUAAGUCGAAAAGCGAGCUUGAGGUUGGCGAUCUCCAGCGCAACAGCAACCUUCUGGGACGAUGUGCGGACAGCAUAUGAGAAUGAUGGUCUAGCACAAGAAGUGUUGUUGAGGAAUCUGGAGGCGCGGGAAGCUCACCAGAGAGGUGAGCUGCCAACGGAAGAGAAAACGGGCUAUGCGGAACGCAACGGACUCAUUUAUUACAAGCAAACGAGGGUGUAUGUUCCAGAAGGGGGACUAAGGAAGGUAGCCUUAGAAGAGUGUCAUGACGGACCUCUUGCGGGACACGGCGGAGUGCCCAAGACGAUGGGCUUACUCAAGAGGAAGUACCAUUGGCCAGAUAUGGCUAAGGACGUCCAAGACUAUGUAAAGACAUGCCCAAUAUGUCAGCAAGUCAAAGCCGUGACGAAGGCUAGUGGGGGCUUGUUGCAAAGCAUCCCCAUUCCAGAUCGUCCGUGGAAAUGUCUCACGAUGGACUUCAUCACGGGACUACCCCCAAGCGAGGGGUUCGAUGCGAUAUUCGUGGUGGUGGACCGAUUUUCAAAGAUGGCACAUUUCAUACCCACCACAACGGACGUGGAUGCGGAAGGUGUGGCGAAGCUGUUCUUCGAACAAGUGGUUCGAGUGCGGGGAAGGCCGGAAGAGAUUAUCUCAGAUCGAGAUAAGAUCUUCACUAGUAGGUUCUGGAGGACACUCCUAGAACAGUAUCGCACCAAGUUGAAAUUCAGCACAGCCUAUCACCCACAGACAGGUAAUGGGUAUUAAGUCAAGAUUGAUGGCACUAACACUUCUUGACAGACGGACAAACGGAAAGGGUGAAUAGGCAGCUGGAGGAUUAUUUGUGAUGCUAUGUCUCGGGAGACCAGACCGACUGGGUAAGUCAUUUGGGACUUGCGGAAAUGUGUUAUAACAACUCACCACAUUCGAGCAUCGGGGUGAGUCCAUGGGAAGUCAUCAAUGGGCGAGCUAUUGAAGGUCCUGUGGAACUCGGCGUGGCCGAGUAUCAUGGAGAGUUACCCGCAGUGGAGGCAUUCACGGCGGAAAGACUCAACAUUUGGAAUCUAGUGAGGGAUUCCUUGGAACGGGCUCAACAAAGGCAAACUAAGUACGCAAACCAAAAGCGUCGGGAUGUGGAGUUCCAAGCUGGGGAGAAGGUGUGGCUGAACACCAAGAACCUCAAGCUGCCAAGUGGGAUCAGCCGGAAGUUGACCCAAAGGUAAAAAUGCAUGUAUUCCUGUAAAUGAAUUGAUCUUGAGUUCCUUGAGCAGGUUCGCGGGGCCUUACGAGAUUGAGGCUCGAAUCGGUAAAGUGGCUUACCGACUCCGACUUCCUCGAGAGAUGGGGAAGAUGCACCCAGUGUUCCACGUGAACUUACUCAAGCCGUACUUUGAGGAUCCGCUUCGCAAGGACCAAGUAAGACCUCUACCCGAGGUUAUCCAAGGGGAAGAGGAAUACGAAGUUGAGGCCAUCCUCAAUGCGCGCAAGAGCAAGCGACAAGGACACGAGGUGAGAGAGUUCCAUGUGAAGUGGAAAGGAUUUCCACACUGCGAAGCAACAUGGGAACCGGAGGAGAACCUAGCGAACGCGCGAGAUCUAGUGGAGGAAUUUCUGCAAGGCAGAACUCUAUGUACUUAUGCAAAGUUCAAUUAAAAAUAUCAAUUUGAGAAGUUGAGCAAAAGCAUAUGUUGGGACCCGAAGGCGCGCCGAAGGUAAGCUAAUUAGCAUGGGUUAGCUAGGUCGACCAGGCGUAGGGAGCUACGCCCGACUCCCUGCGGGGAUGUCGAAUCCGUAGACGUAUUCUACGGAGGUUGGGUUCAAGUCCCAACCCCCUAGUAAAGCAAGGCUGGGUUCAAGUCCCGACCCUAUACUAGGGCGUGGUGAGGUGAGGAGUAUAGGGACACCUAUAUUCCGUUGUCAUGGGCUCUUGGCCGGGGAGGCUAACUUAGGCACACCGCUAAGUGGGGGGAUGCCCCCGGAGACAUGGUCAACAAGUCGUAGGAUAAAAAAGAGACGUUCGAUGUGGGCAUCGAACUUCUUCUAUGGGUGGUGGAGUUGUAAGGAACCAACUCUGAACACUGAAUUCAACACUGAAAUGAACUUGAAACAUUAGAAUAAAUAGAAAAGAAUACUUUGGAGCUAUAAUGCAAACUUACCUCAUUAACUUCUGCUAUAAAAUAUACCUCAAUCAUACCAAAGACAUAUAGUAAUAAUUAUAUAAAACAUUUUAUUUACCUUUGUCUUAGUAAACCAUUUAUAUAGAUUGAUGAUCUGCUUUAGUAUGAUGUUUGUUAGAUAAAAUUAAAAACUUAAAUUUUAAAUACCUUUGCAAACCCAUAUUUUUCUUUUGUGUAGAAUUGUGGGAUGAAGAGCAAAAUAAGUCUCCAUAAUCGUCUCCUGUUUUUCUUCUUUCCCAACUUUAGUUGUCACUAGCUUAAAUAUCUCAUACAAAUCUUCUGCUUUAGGAUUUGUAGUUAGCUUGCUUUUGAGAAGACAUGAAUCCAAAAAGCUUAUGAGCCUUCCCUUGGUUUCAUCCACCAUUGCAUUCACUAUCUCUCCAGCACCAGCAAAAUGUCCUCCAACUUUGGCCCCAAUAAAUAAUAGGAUCAAUGUAUGUUUAAGUACUGGAGCAAAUUUCUUGAGCCAGUUUGGUGGGAUAUUCAAUUCAACACCUACAGAAUUCUUCACUUGAUGACCUUUAUCUCCCUGAGUAUAAGAUCCUUCAUGCCAUUCACACAAGUAGUGAAGUUUAACAGGUGUUCCCAGUAUUUUGCUAUAAUUUUUCCACCUAUUAUUCUCAUCGAGAAUAUAUGGAUAUUUUGGGCAAUCUGUUUCCAAUUUCAAUAAUACUUGCAAACACCUUGUAUGGAUUGCAUUCACUUUAUCCAUGAUAGACUUUAGUCCAUUUUUGAGCUCGUUAAAGCUUACUUCAAUGUUAUCAAGUUUUGUAUCCAACUUGUCAAAACAAUUCUCCAUUUUAUCAAGCCUUUUAUCAAAAUAUCUAAGGAUUGCAUCAAGUUUUGGGUCUUCAACAUUCGGAAACUCAACAACAUCUAAUGAUGCUUUGGGAAUUGUGACUUCUCCAACCUCCUCAUAGUCCUUCAAAAGUUCAUGAAGUUCAACAAACUUAUUUACCAUUUCAUGUUUUUGCUCAUUGGGCAUCAAUAGCUUGGCCAAAGCAUUCUCAUCUGAGACUUUCAAAUCAUUAUUCACAUCCCAGCUCUCUGCUUCAUGUGAAUAAUUCCAAGUGUGGGAGUAUUCUAGACCUCUUUCUUUUGCUUUACAUUUGACUUGCUUUAGUGGACAAAUAACUGAAGCCCAUAAUUCUAAUUUGCCCACCUUAUUUAGUAUCUUUCUCCAUACAUAACCACGUCUCAUCACAUUUUCUUCAAUUUCCAAAGAUGGGCAAUCCUCCAUACAUACCCCAAUAAUGCAAUUUCUAAUUUUUUCCAUCCAUCCUUCAGCUUCCUUUUCUAAAUCCGGCCUUGGUGUAUUCUCUACCUCUUUUGGGUAGUAAAUGAUGAUAUCAAUCCAUUGCCUAUCUUUCCAAUUGUCUGUGUCUCCCCCAACUCUCACAAUUAUCUCGAUAAGGUUUUUUUUCAAAGCCACCCAUCCAUUCCCAAGCCUGAAACCUUUCUUGCUUAAUCUGUGAAGUUUAACUUGGAUCUUUGUGAAAAUACUUGCAGGAAACAAUUUCAAGUCCUUGUCUUUGCAUUCAAACCUCCUGCCCCAGUAGUUGUGGUUUUUUUGAGUGUUAAUUGACAAUAAAUAUCCUGGAGGUGAAUAGUCUUCUUGCAAUAGUGUUGGCAUUAUCAACUCUUUGGGUAAGUUAUGCCAAUUCCCAUCCCAUGUAUCAUCCCAAGGCAAUAUCACUCCCAUCUCAUGGAGCACUCCAAGAAUGUACUCCACUAUUUUGUCUUGGUUCCCACAUUGUUGUUUCAACUGAUGUUUAACUUGGUGUGUAUCCAUUCGACUUUUGAGUUUGCUGGUCUUCUCUGUAGGUAUGAAGAGCUGCACCACAUCCUUGAUAAACCAUUGGACAUCUAAGAUGACAAAUUGAGACACAAUGUCGUCCUCUUCAUGUCCCAAGCCAAAGUAAAUUGCAUCACCAGAAUCAUGUAGAAAUUGCAAGACGAAUUUGAGAACAUUCUCGGAACUCCUGUGAGGCAAGAGGAUUUUGCCAACUUUAUCUAGGGGUAUGACCUUCUUGUGACUUGGAUCUUGUACCAAUUUCCUCUUUGCUUUGAGACAUUCCUGUGGUAUUUGUUGCUGGGCUGACAGCAGUUCUUCCAAGCAACUCCCCAACAUGGUUUUUAUCCCCCUUAAAUCUUUCACUUGAGUGGCCACCACCUUAAAACAAAAGUCAUUCCCAAACUCAAGUACUUGCCCAUAGCCUUUGUCGGAGAUAAUUGCAGAAACCACCUCCUUUGGGUCAAAGUCGGGUUCUGGAGUGAAAAAGUUCAAGGCAAUCAAGACCCUGGGCUUCCUUUUGGGUGAGGCUGAUUGAUGUGAAGCGAUGAACCUCAGCCAGUAAACCAAAUUCUGCUUGAAAACCUCACAAUUGCCAUCCUCCACCUUGCAUACGAUCAAGAAGAGAUCCUUCUCACUUCCUCUGAGAAA